rnacentral:RNase_P_RNA from 1 species
AGUGGUCGGAGGGAGGAAAGUCCGGGCUACACAGGGCAGCGUGCUAGCUAACGGCUAGGGGGCGAAAGCCUACGACCAGUGCAACAGAGAACAGACCGCCAACGCCAAUCGGCACGGUAAGGGUGAAACGGUGGGGUAAGAGCCCACCGCAUGACUGGCAACAGCUCAUGGCAAGGUAAACUCCACGCGUAGCAAGACCAAAUAGGUGUCCAAUCGGUUGCCCGCCGAGGAUACGGGUAGGUUGCUCGAGCGUGUCAGCGAUGGCACGCCUAGAUGAAUGAUUGUCCACGACAGAACCCGGCUUAUCGGUUUGC